CCAACGGCCCUCAUUAGGGCCACAUACACAAAAUCAAACGCUGCU
rfam:Enterobius vermicularis genome assembly, scaffold: EVEC_scaffold0000836